UACGAACCGUGCGAACGUUGUUCGGAAUCACUGGGCUUAAAGGGCGCGUAGGCGGGCUGACAAGUCUGGGGUGAAAUACCACGGCUCAACCGUGGAACUGCCUCAGAUACUGUCGGCCUCGAGGGAGGUAGGGGCGUGCGGAACUGUAGGUGGAGCGGUGAAAUGCGUUGAUAUCUACAGGAACUCCGGUGGCGAAAGCGGCGCGCUGGACCUCUUCUGACGCUGAGGCGCGAAAGCUAGGGGAGCAAACGGG
rnacentral:rRNA from 1 species